AUUGAACGCUGGCGGCAGGCCUAACACAUGCAAGUCGAGCGAGCGGCGGACGGGUGAGUAAUGUCUGGGAAACUGCCUGAUGGAGGGGGAUAACUACUGGAAACGGUAGCUAAUACCGCAUACCAUCUGAUGUGCCCAGAUGGGAUUAGCUAGUAGGUUGGGUAACGGAGCACCUAGGCGACGAUCCCUAGCUGGUCUGCGAGGAUGACCAGCCACACUGGAACUGCGACACGGGCCAGACUCGUAAGGGAGGCAGCAGUGGGGAAUAUUGCACCAUGGGCGAAAGCAUGAUGCAGCCAUGCCGAGGGUGUGAAGAAGGCCUUCGGGUUGUAAAGCAGUUUAAGCGGGGAGGCGGGAAGAGAAGAAGAAGCACCGGCUAACUCCGUGCCAGCCGCCGCGGUAAGAG
rnacentral:rRNA from 1 species